rnacentral:rRNA from 1 species
UUUUAUUUGAGAGUUUGAUCCUGGCUCAGGAUGAACGCUGGCGGCGUGCCUAACACAUGCAAGUCGAGCGAUUUACU